rnacentral:lncRNA from 1 species
UUAAUGGUGAAGUAUUAGCCGGGGAAUCCUGACGUUACGUAUAGGUAGCUCAUGAUCUGCUACUGAAUAGUACUUCUGUAGAAAGAGGUGGCAAUGAGAUAGCGUGGACUACGGGUGGAGAAGUGGAUAUAAAAGUGAAAGAGAAGAAGACGCUGAUAAUGGAGAAGAGAAUGAUGGAGGAGAAGAGGGUGAUGAUGGAGGAGAUGAUGGAGAAGAGGGUGAUGAUGGAGGAGAUGAUGGAGAAGAGGAUGAUGAUGAUGGAGGAGAUAAUGGUGAUAGUGAGCAUGAAAAUGGGAGUAGAACAAAGAAAAAAGCUAAUCACUUUCAAGCGCCGACAUUGCAAGAGGAAUCGAGGUGGAAUUUGCUAC